GCCUUUGCACCCCGCGAGGGGCAAGUGCCGCGACUAUAAAGAAAGCAUUGUCAGCAGGUAGCCUUCAAGGUUGCAACACGAUCGAAUUGCGGGAACGUCCUAAAGCUUCACGGUACCAACUUGGUGAGGGAAACCUCCCGAGGGCCUGCGUUAACUGCGCGGGGUAAGGUUAUAACCCGUGGAGAUUUUGCAAUGGACCAUUCGCAGCGAAGCCCCUAUCGGCGAAAGCCUACGGGGAUCGUUCACAGACUAAGUGGUCGUGGGUUACGGGCUGUCAAGCCUGUGCCUAAGAUAUAGUCGGGCUAUCGAGGAGACUCGAUAGGGUGUUUCGCACCAAACCGUUCCGUAGGUGAACCUGCGGAAGGAUCAUUACAGAGUUCAUGCCCUCGCGGGUAGACCUCCCACCCUUGUGUAUUCAUACUUUGUUGCUUUGGCGAGCUGCCCUGGGCUUAACUGCCUCGGAGCCUCAAGCUUUCGGGCCUGAGAGUCGCUCGCCGGAGGAAAAAAUAAACCCUGAUAAUUAGUGUCGUCUGAGUACUAUAUAAUAGUUAAAACUUUCAACAACGGAUCUCUUGGUUCUGGCAUCGAUGAAGAACGCAGCGAAAUGCGAUAAGUAAUGUGAAUUGCAGAAUUCAGUGAAUCAUCGAAUCUUUGAACGCACAUUGCGCCCCUUGGUAUUCCGGGGGGCAUGCCUGUUCGAGCGUCAUUUCAACCCUCAAGCUCAGCUUGGUAUUGGGCCUCGUCGGUCACACGACGGGCCUUAAAAUCAGUGGCGGCGCCGCUGGGUCCUGAACGUAGUAAUAUAUCUCGUUACGGGUGCCCCGCGUGCUCCUGCCAUUAAACCCCCAAUUUUCUAUGGUUGACCUCGGAUCAGGUAGGGAUACC
rnacentral:sRNA from 1 species